rnacentral:rRNA from 1 species
CGCCCAACAGCUAGCUCACCCCCCCCCCAAUAAACACCAUUAAUAACCCCUAACAUACCCCAACCUAAUAAACUAAACCAUUUUUCCCCCUAAGUAAGGGAGACAGAAAAGGACCCUCGAAGCAAUAGAGAAAGUACCGCAAGGGAAAGCUGAAAGAGAAAUGAAAUAAUUCAAUAAAGCACAAAAAAGCAGGGAUUUUCACCCGUACCUUUUGCAUCAUGAUUUAGUAAGAAUUAACUAAGCAAAAAGCAUUAUAGUUUAGCCUCCCGAAACUAGGUGAGCUACUCCAAGACAGCCUAAUUAUAGGGCAACCCCGUCUCUGUGGCAAAAGAGUGGGAAGAGCUUAGAGUAGAGGUGAUAAACCUACCGAACCUAGUUAUAGCUGGUUACCUGAGAACCGGAUAGAAGUCCAACCCCUUAAAUUCUUUUCUUCGACUAUCUACCCCUUUUAUACAGAAUAAAAGAAAUUAAAGGAGUCAGUCAAAGGGGGUACAGCUCCUUUGAACUAAGACACAACUUUCCCAGAAGGGUGAAGAUCACAUAACCCAAAGCCGCACGUCCUAGUGGGCUUGAAAGCAGCCACCCAAAUAUGAACGCGUUAAAGCCCAGACAUUUUUUNCAUUUAAUAAUCCCGAUAACUAUUACCUUAACCCUCUACCCCUAUCAGGUCCCUCCACAAUAAAUGGAAGUGAUUAUGCUAAUAUAAGUAAUAAGAGGGGAUAGCCCCUCUCCUCGCACACGUGUAAAUCGGAACGAACCCACCACCGAAAAUUAACAGCUCCAACAAAAGAGGGAAGUGAAUAAAAAAUAACUAACAAGAAAACCAUCCAACCACACCCCUGUUAACCCCACACCGGCGUGCGCCACCAAGGAAAGACAAAAGGGGGAAGAAGGAACUCGGCAAACAUGAGCCUCGCCUGUUUACCAAAAACAUCGCCUCUUGCAAUCCACCCUUAUAAGAGGUCCCGCCUGCCCAGUGACUUUAAGUUCAACGGCCGCGGUAUUUUGACCGUGCAAAGGUAGCGCAAUCACUUGUCUCUUAAAUGAAGACCUGUAUGAAUGGCAUCACGAGGGCUUAACUGUCUCCUUUCCCUAGUCAACGAAAUUGAUCUCCCCGUGCAGAAGCGGGGAUAAGCCCAUAAGACGAGAAGACCCUGUGGAGCUUAAGGCCUUGAACAGACCUCCUUAUUCUGUAAACAAACACACACACAAACCCUGUCUCAUGUGCCUUUGGUUGGGGCGACCGCGUGGAAACAAAAAACCCCCGCAUGGACUGAGGAUAGAAGUUUUUACCUCUCACAACCUAGGAAAACACUCCUAAGUACCAGAAUUUCUGACCACUCACGAUCCGGUAAUACCGAUUAAUGGACCCAGUUACCCCAGGGAUAACAGCGCAAUUUCCUUCUAGAGACCGUAUCAACAAGGAAGUUUACGACCUCAUUAAAGUCCUACGUGAUCUGAGUUCAGACCGGAGUAAUCCAGGUCAGUUUCUAUCUAUGCUACCGCCCCCCUCUAGUACGAAAGGACCGGGGGGGGAAGGUCCCUGCCCUCUGCACACCUCACCCCUACCUAAUGAAAUCAACUAAACCAAAUAAAGGGGUAUCCCCAUACACUCGAGAUAAUAGCCU